rnacentral:rRNA from 1 species
AUUGAACGCUGGCGGCAGGCCUAACACAUGCAAGUCGAGCGAGCGGGGGACGGGUGAGUAAUGUAUGGGGACUGCCCGAUAGAGGGGGAUAACUACUGGAAACGGUAGCUAAUACCGCAUACUACAGGGUAACCCCUAUGGGAUUAGCUAGUAGGUGAGGGAAUGGCUCACCUAGGCGACGAUCCCUCGCUGGUCUGAGAGGAUGAUCAGCCACACUGGGACUGAGACACGGCCCAGACUCCUACGGAGGCAGCAGUGGGGAAUAUUGCACAAUGGGCGCAAGCCUGAUGCAGCCAUGCCGCGUGUAUGAAGAAGGCCCUAGGGUUGUAAAGUACUUUCAGUGGGGAGGCGUUACCGGCAGAAGAAGCACCGGCUAACUCCGUGCCAGCAGCCGCGGUAAUAC